UACAGAGGGGGCAAGCGUUGUUCGGAAUUACUGGGCGUAAAGGGCGCGUAGGCGGCCUGUUAAGUCGGACGUGAAAUCUCCAGGGCUCAACCCGGAAACUGCUCUGCAUACUGGCAGACUGGAGUGAUGCAGAGGUUUGUGGAAUUCCUGGUGUAACGGUGAAAUGUGUUGAUAUCAGGAGGAACACCCAUGGCGAAGGCAGCAAACUGGGCAUUAACUGACGCUGAGGCGCGAAAGCGUGGGUAGCAAACAGG
rnacentral:rRNA from 1 species